GACGAACCGUGCGAACGUUGCUCGGAAUCACUGGGCUUAAAGGGUGCGUAGGCGGGCAUUCAAGUCAGGGGUGAAAUCCUCCAGCUUAACUGGGGAACUGCGUCUGAUACUGGAUGGCUUGGGUUUGGGAGAGGGAUGCGGAAUUCCAGGUGUAGCGGUGAAAUGCGUAGAUAUCUGGAGGAACACCGGUGGCGAAGGCGGCAUCCUGGACCAACACUGACACUGAGGAGCGAAAGCCAGGGGAGCAAACGGG
rnacentral:rRNA from 1 species